rnacentral:piRNA from 1 species
UGAGUGGUGCCCGACAACAGACGCCUUUGGUU